rnacentral:misc_RNA from 1 species
UUUCCGUAGGUGAACCUGCGGAAGGAUCAUUACUGAGUGAGGGCCCCUCGGGGUCCAACCUCCCACCCGUGUUUAACGAACCUUGUUGCUUCGGCGGGCCCGCCUCACGGCCGCCGGGGGGCAUCUGCCCCCGGGCCCGCGCCCGCCGAAGCCACCUGUGAACGCUGUCUGAAGCAUGCAGUCUGAGACAAUUAUUAAAUUAAUUAAAACUUUCAACAACGGAUCUCUUGGUUCCG